UACGUAGGAGGCGAGCGUUAUCCGGAAUGACUGGGCGUAAAGGGUGCGUAGGUGGUUUGGCAAGUUAGUAGCGUAACUCCAAGGCUCAACCUUGGAACUACUACUAAAACUGUCGGACUUGAGUGCAGGAGGGGCAACCGGAAUUCCUAGUGUAGCGGUGGAAUGCGUAGAUAUUAGGAGGAACACCAGUGGCGAAGGCGGGUUGCUAGACUGUAACUGACACUGAGGCACGAAAGCGUGGGGAGCAA
rnacentral:rRNA from 1 species